rnacentral:lncRNA from 1 species
UUGCAUUAUACUCUUAUUAAGUUUAUUAAUCAAUGAAUAUUCAAAACAUAAGUUUCAUCUAUACAGAUGAACUUCAAUCAACAUUCAGCACAAUGUACAAUCAAAUAAAAGUUUAUAAUUUGUUACAAUUUCAAAUUAAACAUAAAUUAUGCACAUCAACCCCAGUUUCUUUUCAAGUUUGACUUUCUAUAAAUUUAAUACCUAUGAACAUUUUUAUUUGCAUACAGAAUUCUUAGAAGUAUCAGUAGGUAGGAGAUACAUUAAUUUAAAAUGUAAUAAGUUUUUCAAUUUAUUAUCUUUUCAAAUAAAAUAAAAAUGUGUGUUCAUUUGUAAAUGUUUGAAAAUGUAACAUGUCAACUUAAAUGAUGUUUCAAAUUCAAAUAACUUAUUUAUUACCACAGAUCUAAAAUGCAGAAUUUCAGAAUUCAUCAAAUUCUGAAUACUUUCACCAUUAAGGUUGGUAUAAAAAAAUAAGCCAUUACUAUGUAAUUGAGGGGGCGUGCAAAAGAAACAAUUAAUUUUAAUACAUAUUUAUACAGAUCAUCUCUAAAUUCAAAAAUACUACAACUACAGGAUUGUUUGACAACCUUGAAUAUAAAUAAAGAUAAUGUAAUCAGCAUAAAAUACCGCCUUGAUUACAUAUAUACCAAACAUAUUCUGAUAAAUAAAAAAAUAUUAAAGGGACACAACUCCUGAAAACAACAUAUAUUUAAUUUAAAAGUAAUAAUCUAAAAUUAAGGGAUAAUUUGCAUCAGCAAAUAUAAGUUAGCAUCAAUUGUUAGGAACAUUAAUCUCUAUUAAGGGACAAAUCUAUCAGUCAGUGAUAAUACUAAAAUGAGCCACUUUAAUUUACUAUUUCAGAUAAAUAAUUUAGAAGUAGAGUUAUCUCCCUUAGUCAUUUGAUUUUGAAAUAAGAACUAAUUUAAGUAAAAAAGUCAUAUUGUUUGGUUUUACAAAAUGUAUCUUGAAUUUCUGCAAACUAAAUUUCUCUAAUACAGUGUUAAAUUGUCCGUCUUCAAAAAUUAUCUUUACAAUUCAUAAAAAAAAAAGAGGAAGACUUUUUUUGUGCACAG